rnacentral:rRNA from 1 species
AGUUAGCCGGUGCUUCUUCUGUCGCUAACGUCAAAUAAUGCAGCUAUUAACUACACUACCUUCCUCACGACUGAAAGUGCUUUACAACCCGAAGGCCUUCUUCACACACGCGGCAUGGCUGCAUCAGGCUUGCGCCCAUUGUGCAAUAUUCCCCACUGCUGCCUCCCGUAGGAGUCUGGACCGUGUCUCAGUUCCAGUGUGGCUGAUCAUCCUCUCAGACCAGCUAGGGAUCGUCGCCUUGGUGAGCCCUUACCUCACCAACUAGCUAAUCCCACCUAGGCAUAUCCUGACGCGAGAGGCCCGAAGGUCCCCCUCUUUGGCCCGUAGGCAUUAUGCGGUAUUAGCCAUCGUUUCCAAUGGUUAUCCCCCACAUCAGGGCAAUUUCCUAGGCAUUACUCACCCGUCCGCCGCUCGACGCCGUUAUCGUCCCCCGAAGGUUCAGAUAACUCGUUUCCGCUCGACUUGCAUGUGUUAGGCCUGCCGCCAGCGUUCAAUCUGAGCCAUGAUCAAACUCUUCAAUUUAAGAUUUUGUUCGGCUCAAUGAAUACUGAACAUUACAUAAAGUAAUGUUUGAAUUGACUGUGCUGAAUCUUUCGAUUCAAUGGUCACUUCGUUUCAUUGAAACCUAAUUUGAAGCCGAAGCUUCUAAUUGGAUUAUCAUCAACGAGUGCCCACACAGAUUGAUAGGUCUAUAUUGUUAAAGAGCUUGGCUUUCAGUGCCUUAGCACUUAAGCGAGGUGCGUAUAAUACGCUUUCCACUUUGAAAGUCAACAUAAAACUCUAAAAUAAUUUAGAACUUUAUGGUGACUUGCUUAAAUAUUAAGCAAGUGCGAAAUAAAGCCUGGCGAUGUCCUACUCUCACAUGGGGAAGCCCCACACUACCAUCGGCGCUAAUUCGUUUCACUUCUGAGUUCGGAAUGGAAAUCAGGUGGGUCCAAAUCGCUAUGGUCGCCAAGCAAAUUCUUUAAUUCGGAAAGCUGUUUCAGUUCUUACACAUUCAAUUUGGGAAGAUGUAACGGGGCUAAGUAGUAAACCGAAGCUGCGGCAAUGCACUUUAGUGCAUUGGGUAGGGGAGCGUUCUGUAAGCGGUUGAAGGUGUGUGGUAACGCAUGCUGGACGUAUCAGAAGUGCGAAUGCUGACAUGAGUAACGAUAAAGGGGGUGAAAAACCUCCUCGCCGGAAGACCAAGGGUUCCUGUCCAACGUUAAUCGGGGCAGGGUAAGUCGACCCCUAAGGCGAGGCCGAAAGGCGUAGUCGAUGGGAAACGGGUUAAUAUUCCCGUACUUCUUACAAUUGCGAUGGGGGGACGGAGAAGGCUAGGUGGGCCUGGCGACGGUUGUCCAGGUUCAAGUGCGUAGGCUGAGAAAUUAGGUAAAUCCGGUUUCUCUUAAGGCUGAGACACGACGUCGAGCUACUACGGUAGUGAAGUCAUUGAUGCCAUGCUUCCAGGAAAAGCCUCUAAGCUUCAGAUUGUAAGGAAUCGUACCCCAAACCGACACAGGUGGUCGGGUAGAGAAUACCAAGGCGCUUGAGAGAACUCGGGUGAAGGAACUAGGCAAAAUGGUACCGUAACUUCGGGAGAAGGUACGCUCUCGACGGUGAAGUCCCUCGCGGAUGGAGCUAUUGAGAGUCGCAGAUACCAGGUGGCUGCAACUGUUUAUUAAAAACACAGCACUGUGCAAAAUCGUAAGAUGACGUAUACGGUGUGACGCCUGCCCGGUGCCGGAAGGUUAAUUGAUGGGGUUAGACUUCGGUCGAAGCUCUUGAUCGAAGCCCCGGUAAACGGCGGCCGUAACUAUAACGGUCCUAAGGUAGCGAAAUUCCUUGUCGGGUAAGUUCCGACCUGCACGAAUGGCGUAAUGAUGGCCACGCUGUCUCCACCCGAGACUCAGUGAAAUUGAAAUCGCUGUGAAGAUGCAGUGUACCCGCGGCUAGACGGAAAGACCCCGUGAACCUUUACUACAGCUUGGCACUGAACAUUGACCCUACAUGUGUAGGAUAGGUGGGAGGCUUUGAAACUAGUACGCCAGUAUUAGUGGAGCCGUCCUUGAAAUACCACCCUUGUAGUGUUGAUGUUCUAACGUCGACCCCUUAUCGGGGUUGCGGACAGUGCCUGGUGGGUAGUUUGACUGGGGCGGUCUCCUCCCAAAGCGUAACGGAGGAGCACGAAGGUGGGCUAAUCACGGUUGGACAUCGUGAGGUUAGUGCAAUGGCAUAAGCCCGCUUGACUGCGAGAAUGACAAUUCGAGCAGGUGCGAAAGCAGGUCAUAGUGAUCCGGUGGUUCUGAAUGGAAGGGCCAUCGCUCAACGGAUAAAAGGUACUCCGGGGAUAACAGGCUGAUACCGCCCAAGAGUUCAUAUCGACGGCGGUGUUUGGCACCUCGAUGUCGGCUCAUCACAUCCUGGGGCUGAAGUCGGUCCCAAGGGUAUGGCUGUUCGCCAUUUAAAGUGGUACGCGAGCUGGGUUUAGAACGUCGUGAGACAGUUCGGUCCCUAUCUGCCGUGGGCGUUGGAAGAUUGAAGGGGGCUGCUCCUAGUACGAGAGGACCGGAGUGGACGAACCUCUGGUGUUCGGGUUGUGUCGCCAGACGCAUUGCCCGGUAGCUAAGUUCGGAAUCGAUAACCGCUGAAAGCAUCUAAGCGGGAAGCGAGCCCUGAGAUGAGUCUUCCCUGAUACUUUAAGUAUCCUAAAGGGUUGUUCGAGACUAGAACGUUGAUAGGCAGGGUGUGUAAGCGUUGUGAGGCGUUGAGCUAACCUGUACUAAUUGCCCGUGAGGCUUAACC